rnacentral:rRNA from 1 species
GACGAACGCUGGCGGCGUGCUUAACACAUGCAAGUCGAACGGUACGGCCCGGCUUUUGUGCGGAGGUCGGGGGACGAACGGGUGAGUAACACGUGAGUAACCUGUCCUUGACUGUGGGAUAACCUCAGGCAACUUGGGCUCAUACCGCAUAGGAGCUCCCGCCGCAUGGUGGGGGUGGGAAAGAUUCGCUGGUUGGGGAGGUAAUGGCGGCUCAUCAGCUUGUUGGUGGGGUAGUGGCUGACCAAGGCUUUGAGGGGUAGCCGGCCUGAGAGGGUGACCGGCCACAUUGGGACUGAGAUACGGCACAGACUCGUACGGGAGGCAGCGGUGGGGAAUAGUGCACAAUGGGCGGAAGCAUGGUGCGGUAAAGCCGCGUGGGGGAUGAGGGGCAGCGGGUUGUGAACCGAUGUCGCCUGUGACGAAGCGUGAAUGACGGUAAUGGGUGAAGAAGCACCGGCUAACUACGUG